GGGCAGGUGGCCGAGUGGUUAAAGGCAGUAGGCUGUAAACCUACUCCCUUCGGGGUACGGGGGUUCGAAUCCCUCCCUGCCCA
rnacentral:tRNA from 1 species